GUAGAAGUUCGGCUCUCGCAGGAGCUUGAUCGGGAUCCAAAAGGUGGUCGACCGCUGUAGAAACUUGAAAGGAGUCUGGUUACUGUAGAGAUCUCGUUGUCGGAGAAGCUCGAAUGCUGACGAAGCUCGAAAGAAGUUUGGAGUAGGGUCGUCCAUGGCUGGAAGAAGUCCAAGAGAGACUCGAAGAAUGGUCGGCUGCUGUAGGAGG
rnacentral:lncRNA from 1 species